UAUGUGUGUGUGCUAGGACAGCACUUUCUUCCUGCACAACAGAGAUUCUGAGAUUCUGGGGACAGGCCUUGGGGACAGCCCCAUGGGACACCCUCCUGGAAGCCCAGCCCUUCUCUGCUCAGCAGGGAGCCACCCCCAGCCACAGAAGAAGGAGGACAUUUGCAUGAGGAGCCCACCUCCCUCAGGAUAAGAAAGACCUGGGGCUUCCCCAGCUGUGGGCUCAGAGGCAGAGCUCUGGGGUGUCUCCACCAUGGCCUGGACCCCUCUCCUGCUCCCCCUCCUCACUCUCUGCACAGGUGCAGUGUCUUCCUACGACCUGACUCAGCCGUCCUCGGUGUCAGUGGCCCUGGGACAGACGGCCACCAUCGCCUGCUCUGGAGAUUUACUGGAUAAAAAAUACACUCGAUGGUUCCAGCAGCACCCGGGCCAGGCCCCUGUGCCCGUUAUAUAUAAGGAUACCGAGCGGCCCUCGGGGGUCCCUGACCGAUUCUCUGGGUCCAGCUCAGGGAAGACGGCCACCCUGACCAUCACUGGGGCCCAGGCUGAGGACGAGGCUGACUAUUACUGUCUGUCACCGGACAGUGAUAACAACCCCACAGUGACACAGGCAGAUGGGGAACUUUGUGACCUCGAGCACUGGGUGCUGUAG